UAAGAACCAGAGAAAAAUACAAGUUACAUCCAAGCUGUAUAAAGCAACAAUGUCAGAUGACUGACAAUGCAGUCCAUUAAUUUCUGGAAUUAGUUAAUUUAGUAUUUGUCGAUUAAUUAAUUUGUUUUUCAUAACUGGGCAGCUGCACCACUGCUCUUGAACACUGUUUGAGAUAAUCACACUGUGCAAUAUACUGUCCUAAGCGGGGUACUAUACAUAAUUUUAGUUGACAACUGAAAUGAUGAAACACCAGUGAAUGGAUCAUGACCGUAAACAUGACCAUGUCUGUUGGUAGUAAAACAGCUGACCAGGAUCAUAUGGAAAAGAAUAAACAUAUUAACCCAGCAAUGAAUUGGACCGGUUGGUGUUGUUUGAAAUGAGAGUAAACAUAUAGGCUGGGUGUGUCGUGUUUUUUCUGGUUAAACUUUCAUUAGCAUUUUGAUGCUUGGUGGUGCAGUCAGACUUUGACAUCACUCAAUGAUGUCUGGCUAUUGUAGAUUUAUUUGUUUUUAUUUUCCUUCAUACACAAUGCCCACUAUCUUCAGUGAAGGUACUGGGACACAGGAGAUUGAUCUGGAAAAGAGGGUCUGGGAUUCAGACCUGGGACCUUCAUGAGGAAGGGUUACUGUGCUACCUGCUGCCCUGCAUCAGUAACGUUUGAUUACGCGGGAGGACAACACAUACUUUGACAAGUGAUCUCUCCACACCUGAAGUGUCAGAAAGGAUCAACACCAACACGACCGAGUCAUCAGAUUUCAACAUGACCCCACUGAAGAUUCUUGCUGCUGCAGUUCCUCGAAUUAUUGAUACAUGUCGUAUCAUGAGGGCCAUUCAAAAUCAGAGGCAUAGGGAGCCACAGCUGGGAGGGACAGACCCACAGAGACAGCCCCUGGCACAGGCCCAAAACGACAUGAAUGGCGCCUCAGUACAGCGCUCCCCCUGGUCCAUGGGGAUGAAGAAGGGGAUGGGCAUAGGGAUGAAGAUGGGGGUGAGGAUGGGGAUGUGCAUGGGGAUGGGCAUGAGG